rnacentral:rRNA from 1 species
AUUGAACGCUGGCGGCAGGCCUAACACAUGCAAGUCGAGCGAGCGGCGGACGGGUGAGUAAUGUAUGGGGACUGCCCGAUAGAGGGGGAUAACUACUGGAAACGGUAGCUAAUACCGCAUACUAUCGGAUAACCCAUAUGGGAUUAGAAAGUUGGUGAGGUAAUGGCUCACAAAGUCGACGAUCCCUAGCUGGUCUGAGAGGAUGAUCAGCCACACAGGGACUAAGACGCGGCCCAGACUCCCACGGAGGAAGCAGUGGGGAAUAUUGCACAAUGGGCGCAAGCCUGAUGCAGCCAUAACGCGUGUAUGAUGAAGGCCCUAGAGUUGUAAAGUACUUUCAGUCGGGAGGCGUUACCGACAGAAGAAGCACCGGCUAACUCCGUACCAGCAGCCGAGGUAAUAC